rnacentral:rRNA from 1 species
UACGUGGGGUGCAAGCGUUGUCCGGAAUUAUUGGGCGUAAAGAGCUCGUAGGCGGUUUGUCGCGUCGAAUGUGAAAACCCGGGGCUCAACCCCGGGCCUGCAUUCGAUACGGGCAGACUAGAGUUCGGUAGGGGAGUCUGGAAUUCCUGGUGUAGCGGUGAAAUGCGCAGAUAUCAGGAGGAACACCGGUGGCGAAGGCGGGACUCUGGGCCGAUACUGACGCUGAGGAGCGAAAGCGUGGGGAGCGAACAGG